UGCUGUGUCUGUGACAAAUAUUGUGUCUAAGUCUAUCGGCCCAUAGUCUUCAAGCUUCCUUCUUAUUUGUCGCUCUCUGAGGUUUAAAUUAUAAUAAACGUAGACUAGUUUAUGAAGCUUCUCAGAAGCGAGUCGAUUCCUCCUAGUAGUGUGCAACCAUUGGAACGUACUCCAAUUACGCUCACAGCCAGUAGCAGAACAUGUCUGGGAGAGCACCUUGAUUGCUAUCCUCUUUAGGUGAGGUGCAUCAGUACCAUAUAUCUCCCACCAUUCAGCU
rnacentral:lncRNA from 1 species